AUUGAACGCUGGCGGCAGGCCUAACACAUGCAAGUCGAACGAGUGUCGGAUGGGUGAGUAAUGUCUGGGAAACUGCCUGCUGGAUGGUGAUAACGACUGGAAACGGGAGCUAAUACCGCAUACCAUCAGAUGUUCCCAGAGGGGAUUAGCUAGGUGGUGGGGUAACGGAUCACCAAGGCGACGAUCCCUAGCUGGUCUGAGAGGAUGACCAGCCACUCUGGAACUGAGACACGUUCCAGACUCCUACGUGAGGGAGGAGUGGGGAAUAUGGCAAAAUGGGCGAAAGCCUGAUGGAGCCAUGCCGUGUGUAUGAAGAAGGCCUGGGGGUUGUAAGUACUUUCAGAAGGGAGGCGUUACCCACAGAAGAAGCGCCGGCUAACUCCGUGCCAGCCGCCGCGGUAAUAC
rnacentral:rRNA from 1 species